CGGCGCACCAACGCCCUGCAGGCUGUGUUCACGCCACCAACCUCAGUCCUGUCCCGGCGCUCCGACAAAAGCCGGAGCCUCAGCUCCCAGUCCCGCCCGCCCCGGCGGGCGAGCAGACAAGCCUCUCGGCUGGUCACCACAGAGAACUGAGUAGAGUUCGCUGAGCUAUAUGAACCAUAUAACUGAAAGGAACACUGAGAAAUCAUCUGGACCAACCAUCCCAUGAAGGCAUUUUAUAACAUCUACUUCAUGGAUUGAUAAGACAUCCUCUAUCUGACAUAUGG